AUUAUCCAACUAUUGAAGGAGGAAGCCAAAGUGAGGCUCAUAAUGAAUUGUCUAGGCCUCACCGUUUCCCUCAUGGUAGGAGGAGUUGCUGCAGGAAUGUGGUAUCUUUUUUAUUAUAAGAAAAAGAAACCCUGUAUGAAGGAGAAAGAUGCUGUGGUGAAAAUGGAGGAAGGGCCUUUAAACAAAGGUUAAUAUCCCUCCAGACUCAAAUGUUGAUAUGGGAGACGUUACAUAAGAUCUGUAUCCUGAUCUCCCAAUUACUGUGAACCAACUCAUCUGUGUUACAGGACCUUUAAAUGAUCCAAUUUAAAGAAAUGUACAAUAAAUACUUAAUGCUUGUAACAUUAAA